UGGGGUGUGUGUGUGUUUAAAAUGUCCAGGAUGGUGAAGGGGUUGGGCCUGGUGGAGACGGGCUUGCAAACCUCCCCCAAAGACUCCAGGCCUACAGCUGCCAUGCUCCAGUGCAGACAGACAAUCGGACGGGGCUUCUGCACUCUGUGGCGGCAUCAUCACUGUCUCUGGAAGAUCUCCUCUCUUCCAAGGGCAUCAAGAUUUUUUAGAGCCACUCAGCUCGGCUGCCAGCUUCCUUGAGAUCCCACAGCACCUGCAGCCCUGCCCGCCCGUUCUGCACUGCCCACUUGUGAAGCUGUCUCUCCUUUCUCAGCCAGUAUGGAGCCUCCCCACCAGGCCCGUGGACUCCAUGGGAGGUGAGCUGAUGUCUUACAAAACUCUUUCCACAGCUCUUAAUGCGGACUGUUCUUCCACCAAACACUUUUUGAGGAAAGAGAGAAGGAAGAAAGGAAGAAAAGAGGGAAGAGAGAAAGGAAGGGGAGAGAAAAGUGGAAGAAAAUAGAUUCUUUGUGGACACCCAGCACGUGCCAAGAGCCACAAGAGCCACAUUCGACAACCACAUGAAGACCUCACGGGGCCACUCCAUGAGUGCGUUUGCCCUGACAAAUGAAGUAAGUGAGGUUCAGUUGCUUUCCCAAGACCACGCAGCAUUAACCAGCAGAGUUUGAACUUGAAGUCAGGCCCAUCUGUGUGCAAAGGCUGAGCCGGAUCUGCCUCGACACAUGGCCUCCUGGAGCACCAGACCCUGCCUAAGCGCUGCCAGCCGAGACCAGAUUUUCUCCACGAGUCCUGCAUUCCACUCUUCUGGCCCAACGUUGGAACUUCCCAGCUCAGGAAUACGGGGAGCUGCAGCUUUGGGAAGUCAGGAUUGGGGAGAGGAGGCAGCUGUGGCUUGAGGCCAGGCCUAUGGAUACCUCUGACCCACACAAGGGAAAGCUCCUCUGUGUUUUUCUGAUUGGCCAUAUAGGCAGGUGGAAAGACAGCAGUCAUCGUGCGAGUCACGAGACUCUCGCAGUGUUCGCUCAUUAUCUGCCUGCGUCUGGGCGGGGAGGGGAUUAUUUCCCAUUUACAGUUGGUGACACCCCCACAGAAGCCUCGAACAUGGUUCUUGGGCCCAACUCAGCCAAUCCUGUCCUCUUGGCAAUUCUUCAAGGCCCAGCUCAAACAUCCCCGCCUCCAGGACGCCUUCCGCCAACUUCAAGCAUUGUCAAUAACACCCUCUCCCAUCCCCGAGUGCCUGGAGCCAAAGAUGAAGUUAAACCUCCCAAACACAGAAGGCCCUUUGUAAUCUGAUCCCUACUACAGCCUGGCACAGAGUGGCUUCUUACUAAAUGCUUAUGAAUUGAAUACUUUGCCCAUUCCACUGAACAGGAUUUUUCCUGUGGACUGUAAACAGCUGCUGCCUGUCCUUUUUUUUUUUUUUUUUUUUUUUUUGUCUGUUUAUUGUUUGCCCCACCCAGGUGAGCUGAGCCCACCCAGGUGAGCUCCAGGAGUGAAGGGAGCUCGUCUGCAGGUUUCUCUCUUUAUCUCUGGCUCACUGCAACCUCUGCUUCCCAGGUUCAAGUAAUUCUUCUGCCUCAGACUCCCAGGUAGCUGAGAUUACAGACACGUGCCACCACGCCCAGCUAAUUUUUGUAUUUUUAGUAGAGAUGGGGUUUCAUCAUAUUGGCCAGGCUUGUCUCAAACUCCUGACCACAGGGUAUCCACCUGCCUCAGCUUCCCAAAGUGCUGGGAUUACAGCUGUGAGCCCAGCCUCAAAAAAACAUCUUGUAUGAUCCUAGGAGAGUCAUCAGAUGAAAGGAGUCCUUGGAGAAACUAUCACCUGCCCCGGAGGAGUUAACCUGACUGGCCAAGUUCACCGGUCGGCAGCCUAGCGUGUCACCUUGAGUUCAAAUGCCUUUGGAUGUAUUUGUUUGUUGGUGCAUGUUUGGUAAUGUUUUAAAUUGCCAAAAAUACCUGUUAAAGAAGAUUUUACAUUUUCACACCUCUACAGGAAAUUCGGUUCCAAAAGAUGCGCUGACUUCUUAUUUUAGAGAUGACGACAAAAGGCCCAGAGAGGGACAGUGAUUCACCCAAGGUGGCAGAGCCAGUCAGGAAGAGCACCCGGGAGGGAGCCCCGGUCUGCCGACCCCACUAUGUUCAUUCUCACACCUGAUCAUACGAGUGUAAAGUUCUAGCUGAUGGAAGCACGUGACAUAUAUUGUCCUUUGUUCUUCCCAGAUGCCAUGAUUACUCUCUUUAAUGGAUGAGGAAAUUGAGGCAUGAAUGGGCUUGGAAACUUGCCGAAGUUCCCACUGGCAGUAAACGACAACGCUGGGGUGGGGGUGAUCCUAAGAUGCUGCUCCCACCGACAGCUGUGAACCAAUGCGAGGGCCCAUCUCCCACCCAGGGCCCAUGCUAGCCUGGAGCUGCAGACUCUCCCCAGCCACCCUUGCCCGGGAGAGGUAGGCCCAGCCGACCACACCAGCUUGGGAAACAUACAAAGGCCACACAGAGGACAGAGCAGCCCAGCAGUGCCUCUGUGGACAUGCGACGCAGACAUCACAAGAUGAUUUAUGUAACUUCUUACAUAAUGACAGUAUUUCUAUCAAAGACCAGCCCGAGGCAGGCUGUCAGCCAUAAUCAGAGCGGACAUGCUUCUUGCUUCCUGGGAACAGGAGGCAUUGGGUCAAAGCAAACCCCUUUGGCUGCCAGGCUAAGGGCUUCCUGACCUGCUGAACUUGCCUGGUGUGGCUGUGUCCUCAGAGGAGGCAGAGACCUGGUAAUGCCCCAGAGGAGUCACAGCCCAGCUCGGCCAGCCCCAUCACCCCUGGCUGCAGCCCACCUCCAGCGACAGAGACCACUGUCAGUGUGAUCAAAUACCAUGCUGGAAGAGGUUUCAACCACGUUAUUGUACCAUUAGAGGGAUACUGGCUUUGGAGAUGAGAUCUUCGAACUCAGCCCCUACCUGGCUGUGUGAUCUUGAGGUAGUCAGUCACCCUCUCUGGGCCUCAGUUUCCUGGUUGAAUUACAUCAUCAAUUCUUGACCUCCAUGCUGAACACAAGGAUAUGGUGCUAGCAUGCCACAGUCGGUGCUACUUAUAUGUGGCAAAUGAUUUGCUUUUUCCUAAUAUAAAUCAGCACGAUUCAACCUCAUCAAAUCAGGAAAGGGGCAUUUGCAUCGACAGUCAAAGGGCCAUCCUCACCUGCCUCGGCAUUCCUGGUGGGGUGUGCUGGGACUAUGAAGAGUUACUGCCAUGAGUACUGCCAACCCCUUACCUCCACCGAGGUGAGCUCUCCUAGACCAACAUUGGCCCCUUGGAUGGCAUUCCAGUGCCUGGCACAUGGUAAACCCCUCGGAACACGUUUGUCACCCACAGAGCAACCACUUUAUAAGAUGAAUAUCCUGGGGACUUCAGAGGACUUGGGAGGACACAGGAGAGAGCUACCUGUUCCCUGAGGUGUUUCCACAUUGCGCAGACCCCACGGGACCUUAACACAGGGCUGGGCUUCUGAACCAGCUUCCUUUGGUCACCGGUUCUUAGUGGCAAUAACAGAUGUGAUAUGUGUUUGCUGGGAGGUGAAGGCCCUGAACAGAAUGGCUGAUGCCCACUCACAUUGGGAAGGACCAUCUGUCUUACAACCCAUGAGCAGAUACUAUUACCAGCCCAUCUUAAGAUAAGGAGGCCAAGGCACAGAAUGGUGAAAGGGCUUGUUGAAGGUCACAGCUAGUAAAUGGAGGAGCCCGAUACAAACCCCAGCAGCUCACCUGCAGGACUACUGCCUCCACCUGGGCCUUCCUGAGGCAAAACCUCAGUCGCUGUUUCACGAAAGAAGACGGAAGGGCAGGGUCAGCCUAGGGAGGAUGUGGUGGGAUGGGUGCUCAGGGGCUGAGCAUGCUGCAGAUGUCCCAGCCAUCUUGGAAGCUGCCCCAUGUGCCAGAGCAGAUGGGCCACAUCCUUGUCUCCACUGAGAGUGAGCCUGCUGUCUCCAGAGGCAAUCAAGCAAGAAUAAGACUGCCAGUUGGAGAGAAGAUAGCAAUGCAGAUUUAAGCAUCAGCGUGUGCCCUGGGGAAGUCGCCUGAGGUGAACUGUAACUUUCAAGUUUGUCCACAAGGCCUCACCUCGGGCAUGGCAGCCACUCGGACUGGCCAGUCCUUUGUCUAUCCAGCACAUCACCAUCUCUGGACACCUCACUUCCAGGGGAAGCCAGCUGACAUGUCGUGGGGAUGCUCAAGUAGCCCUUAGGAGAGGCUCAUGUGAUGAGGAGCUAAGAGGACUUGGGACAAAAACCAAUGGAGAAUUGAGUCCUCCCAUCAGUAGUUAUACAGGCUCUUGUUAUGUUGCCCAGACUGGUCUCAACCUCCUGGCCUCAAAUGAUCUUUCUGCCUUGGCCUCAGAAGCUUUGGGACUGCAGGCAUAAGCCAUGGUGCCAGGCAGACCACUUCAUUAACCAGAUGAGGAAACCGAGACUGAGAGGUGGAGUGGUUUGCCCAAUGCAGCCAGGAGGAAAGGACGUCUAAGUGCAUAGAAAUGGAAGCAGGUUGGAAAUUCAAUACGACGCCCACCUCGGGAUGUAUUUUAGCACCGGUGUUUUUCUCUUUCCCAGGACAUUCUCCAGUAAGCGUUCGCUCUGUGUCCCCCCACACCCACUUCUCCUGUCCUGACCUUCCUGCAGAUGCAGUUUUGAGACCACACAGGUUCCCAGGUCACUGGUGAGCAUCCCUGCAGGCCUCCCACUGUCCUGCACUUGGUGGCCAACUCCAGCCCUCUUCCCUAGCUUGGCUUUUUCCAUGAGUCAUUUUUAAAUCUUUGUAUAAGACCUAUGAGGAUAAAAACAGGAAGGCAGGCAAGCCAGCCAGCCCUGGAGGCCAUCCCUGGGCUCUUAGGAGAUGAAAGUCUGCAAACACUAUCCCAGGUGUCUGUGCGCCAUCUGCCCCCGCACCCCCCAGCUGCUGACCAGGAGGACCUUGGAAUCUGGAUGAAUACAGGACUGUUUGAAUGUUGGAAAUUCCCCAUUGUCCCUUUCUCUAGAACUUGUUAGGCCACACAAAUGGCAAGCUAUUUCCAAGUGUCAUUCUCCGAAUAGAUUCCUUCUAGUCUGGGGUGGCAGGGAGGGGGUAGAAUAAGAGGUAAGCCCCCCCGGUGGGCCCAGCAGGCCUUAACAUCUCCAAAACCCAAUGGUUCUUCCAGGGCACACACUGCUUCAUAUUCUCCUGGGCUCACUGUGCAUAACCAAGUGUGUAAUUCUCCAGUUCUCCCAAAUGCAUGUCCUCCCUUGCAGGCAGCAUUUAUCAGAGAACACAAGGCAGCUGCUUCCUUAAGGAUCACCUGGGGUCACAUUCAGACUGGAGAUGUUGCCAGAAGCCAAUCCACCUCUGCGGGGACUCUGGUUGACCCAGGAGUUCCUCUGCUCCUGAGGGAACUGCUGAGGGGCUUGGGCCGUGACUCCAGGACCAAGGGUUUUGGGGGGGACUUUCCUUCCCCUGGCCAAGGAAAAGGAAAUGGGGCUACCAGCUGCUGCUCUGGGAGGCUAGAGGCUCAUCUGUAUACCGUGCACCCUUUCCAAGGCUCUGUUCUCUGAGGGCUUCUCGAAACACCCACUUUAAUCAGAGUUCAGCUGGAUUUGAAGGUUGACAUGAUUAGAUGUGUCAAAAAACGUUAAAGUCGAAUAACACCCAAUGCUGUCAAGAAUGUGGAGGAAAGGAGACACGCACGCACUGUUGAUGUGUCAGCUGGUGUCCAAUUCGGACGGAGUUUGUGUCUCUAUUAGAAUGCGAAAUAGAUAUGCCCUCCGACUCAGCGAUUCCACUUCUAAGAGCCAGUUCUACAGAAAUAUGUGCCCAUGGACACAAAGAAUUGGGCAUGAAGAUGUUUGCAGAAAUGUUGUUUGUGACUGCAAAAUAAUUAAAAAGCCACCAAAUCAAAAAACCAAACACCUGGCAUUUGUCCCCGGCUUUACUGAGAUUUAAUUGACAAGCCUCGGAUUUAGACACUGUGGCAGUACUGGGAUAGGGUAUGCUCCGCCGUCACUAAAAAGAAUGACGUAAACCUACAGAUGCUGAUUAGAAGGACCUCAAAAUGGGCCUUUUAAUGAAAACAAAUAAAGGAUACAAUUAUG